AGCAGUAGCCACGGUAAUACGAAGGGGGCUAGCGUUGCUCGGAAUCACUGGGCGUAAAAGGUGCGUAGGCGGGUCUUUAAGUCAGGGGUGAAAUCCUGGAGCUCAACUCCAGAACUGCCUUUGAUACUGAAGAUCUUGAGUUCGGGAGAGGUGAGUGGAACUGCGAGUGUAGAGGUGAAAUUCGUAGAUAUUCGCAAGAACACCAGUGGCGAAGGCGGCUCACUGGCCCGAUACUGACGCUGAGGCACGAAAGCGUGGGGAGCAAACAGGAUUAGAUACCCCCGUAGUCCCUGUCUCUUAUAC
rnacentral:rRNA from 1 species